rnacentral:rRNA from 1 species
GAGUUUGAUCGUGGCUCAGAUUGAACGCUGGCGGCAUGCCUUACACAUGCAAGUCGAACGGCAGCAUGAUCUAGCUUGCUAGAUUGAUGGCGAGUGGCGAACGGGUGAGUAAUAUAUCGGAACGUGCCCUGUAGUGGGGGAUAACUAGUCGAAAGAUUAGCUAAUACCGCAUACGACCUGAGGGUGAAAGUGGGGGACCGCAAGGCCUCAUGCUAUAGGAGCGGCCGAUGUCUGAUUAGCUAGUUGGUGGGGUAAAGGCCCACCAAGGCGACGAUCAGUAGCUGGUCUGAGAGGACGAUCAGCCACACUGGGACUGAGACACGGCCCAGACUCCUACGGGAGGCAGCAGUGGGGAAUUUUGGACAAUGGGCGAAAGCCUGAUCCAGCAAUGCCGCGUGUGUGAAGAAGGCCUCGGUGU